GACAGAGGGUGCAAACGUUGCUCGGAAUUACUGGGCGUAAAGCGCGUGUAGGUGGAUUGGUGUGUCAGAUGUGAAAUCCCUGGGCUCAACCCCAGGAACUGCACCUGAAACUACCAGUCUUGAGUGGUGGAGAGGGAAGUGGAAUUCCUGGUGUAGAGGUGAAAUUCGUAGAUAUCAGGAGGAACACCAGUGGCGAAGGCGGCUUCCUGGACACCAACUGACGCUGAGACGCGAAAGCGUGGGGAGCGAACAGG
rnacentral:rRNA from 1 species